UACGUAGGGUGCGAGCGUUGUCCGGAAUUAUUGGGCGUAAAGGGCUCGUAGGCGGUUUGUCACGUCGGGAGUGAAAACUCGGGGCUUAACCCCGAGCCUGCUUCUGAUACGGGCUGACUAGAGGUAUGCAGGGGAGAACGGAAUUCCUGGUGUAGCGGUGAAAUGCGCAGAUAUCAGGAGGAACACCGGUGGCGAAGGCGGUUCUCUGGGCAUUACCUGACGCUGAGGAGCGAAAGUGUGGGGAGCGAACAGG
rnacentral:rRNA from 1 species